rnacentral:rRNA from 1 species
GACAGAGGGUGCAAACGUUGUUCGGAAUUACUGGGCGUAAAGCGCGUGUAGGCGGCUCUGCAAGUCGGAUGUGAAAGCCCUCGGCUCAACCGAGGAAGUGCACCCGAAACUGCAGAGCUAGAGUCUCGGAGAGGAUCGUGGAAUUCUCGGUGUAGAGGUGAAAUUUGUAGAUAUCGAGAGGAACACCGGUGGCGAAGGCGGCAUCCUGGACCAACACUGACGCUGAGGAGCGAAAGCCAGGGGAGCAAACGGG